GGGUUUUCCUUUGAAAUCCCAAAUGUUUAAUGUACAGAGAAGUUUUAAUGUGUCUGUUGGGGAGCUUCAUUAGGAUUGUUUUCUAUCUUUAAUUGGCCAGUAUUGUUUUAUAUGUUAGCAUUUUUGGGGAACAUCAAAAUUUGUGUUUCAGUUAUCAUUAAUAUUUUACAAAGUUAUUGAAUGUGCAUGAUUUAGCCUUUAACAAUCUCUUCAAUUAUUUACAUUCCCAUGUAAAAAAUGCAGUAAUGAACGUCCAUGUACAUAACAUUCCCAUGGUUCAAUGAAGCAUAAUUUCUUGACAUCUCAGUUUCUAAGUGCCCUGUGUUGAGGUUGGGAAAGCUAAAGGGCAGUCAGAGGUCAAGGUCAGCAAAGCGUCACCUUUGACGUUUGAAAUCCAGCAGCAGGUAUCACAGUGAACCCCAUUCCAGCAUCCAGGAAGUUUCUCUGCCCUGCCUCUCCUCCAGCCACCUCAGAAUCUGUGUCUGCGGUGUUGGUCCUGCUUUCCUGUCUCUCCUCUGCCUUUUCUUUCUCUUCACCAACUUCUACCGAGUGCCUCUGAUGUCUCAGACAGUGGCAGUAGGAGUACAAAGGCUAAUAAACCCGGCCCUGGUCCUCAAAGAAUUUAUGUUUUCUGUGCAGAUAUUAAGUGACACUGCCAUAUAUAGUGUUGACAAACAUUGAUACAGAUUUCCUGUGAAGUGCAGAAGCACCAUCCUAGAAGCAGAGAUGCAGAGGCAACACUGGUGACUCACAUGGAGAGCUGGAGUUCUUGGUCUAGUGGGAUAAACUGACCUGGACAUCAUUUCAGUGCAGCGGAGUGAGUGCUGGGAUGGGCUCCCUUAGGGCAUCUGGGGCUGGGUUUGUCUGGUGUUUAGUCUCCUGCCUGGUACUUAGAGUUUAUCAGUAAGAUGAGCAUUGGGAGGCUUCUAAGUGAAAAGAAAGGCAAUCACUUACCUGAAACCUAAAAUUUGUAGGUAUUCUGGGCCAUUUAUAAUUCACUGAAUCUGUUUUGUCAGAACAAGUCUAUCAUUUAUUGUUUUGGAUGGAGUGUGGCCAGCCCUGCCUUGCGAUGUAAGGAAAUCAGGAAACGCUUGUCAGGUGUCAACACUGUGCCAGACACUCUUCUAGGGGUUUCCACGUGAAUCACUGUAUUCAUUUCUGUUGCUGCUUUACCACAUUUCCACAAAUUUAGUGACUUAAAACAAUUGAAAUUGUAUCAUCUCACAGUUCUGUGGGGCAGAAGGCUGACGUGGAUGUGACUGGGCAAAAAUCACCAUGUGGGCUGGGCUGCAUUCCUCACUGGAGAAUUGUUUCCAAGUGCUUUUGGCCAAAUAUAGUUCCCUGUGGUUGCAGGACUGAGGUGUCUGUUCCCUUGCUCUCCAUCUGUUGGGAGCUGCCCUCAGCUCCUGAGGCCUCUAUCUGGUCUUUGCACGUAAUCCCAUCAGCUCAAGACUAGGUAGGCCAGGGACCUGGUCAGGCUCUCCAGUUCCCCUGUGUGCAUUUCUCUUCUUGCACUCGGAGAAAGUUCUAUUCCCUAUUUUAAAAUAUUUUUUUGAGAUG
rnacentral:lncRNA from 1 species